CUGGCUCAGGACGAACGCUGGCGGCGUGCCUAAUACAUGCAAGUCGAACGGUCUUUCUAUGGAAGCUUGCUUCCACUGAGAAGAUAGUGGCGAACGGGUGAGUAACACGUGGGUAACCUGCCCAUAAGAGGGGGAUAACAUCCGGAAACGGGUGCUAAUACCGCAUAGUUUCUUGAUCGCAUGAUCGGGAAAGGAAAGACGGCCUUUGUGCUGUCGCUUAUGGAUGGACCCGCGGCGUAUUAGUUAGUUGGUGAGGUAACGGCUCACCAAGACGAUGAUACGUAGCCGACCUGAGAGGGUGAUCGGCCACAUUGGGACUGAGACACGGCCCAAACUCCUACGGGAGGCAGCAGUAGGGAAUCUUCCGCAAUGGACGAAAGUCUGACGGAGCAACGCCGCGUGAGUGAAGAAAGGUUUUCGGAUCGUAAAACUCUGUUGUCAGAGAAGAACAAGUUGGAGAGUAACUGCUCCAGCCUUGACGGUAUCUGACCAGAAAGCCACGGCUAACUACGUGCCAGCAGCGGC
rnacentral:rRNA from 1 species